GACGUAGGGCGCGAGCGUUUGUCCGGAUUUAUUGGGCGUAAAGAGCUCGUAGGCGGUUUGUCGCGUCUGCCGUGAAAGUCCGGGGCUCAACUCCGGAUCUGCGGUGGGUACGGGGCAGGACUAGAGUGAUGUAGGGGAGACUGGAAUUCCUGGUGUAGCGGUGAAAUGCGUAGAUAUCUGGAGGACACCGGUGGCGAAGGCGGGUC
rnacentral:rRNA from 1 species